UACGUAGGGUGCGAGCGUUAAUCGGAAUUACUGGGCGUAAAGGGUGCGCAGGCGGUCUCGUAAGCUGGGUGUGAAAGCCCCGGGCUUAACCUGGGAAUGGCAUUCAGGACUGCGAGGCUUUGAGUGCGGCAGAGGGAGGUGGAAUUCCACGUGUAGCAGUGAAAUGCGCAGAUAUCAGGAGGAACACCAGCGGCGAAGGCGGCGCUCUGGGCCGGUACUGACGCUGAGGAGCGAAAGCGUGGGUAGCAAACAGG
rnacentral:rRNA from 1 species